UAAGGAAUCUUCCACAAUGGGCGAAAGCCUGAUGGAGCAACGCCGCGUGCAGGAUGAAGGCCUUCGGGUCGUAAACUGCUUUUAUAAGUGAGGAUUAUGACGGUAACUUAUGAAUAAGGGUCGGCUAACUACGUGCCAGCAGCCGCGGUCAUACGUAGGACCCAAGCGUUAUCCGGAGUGACUGGGCGUAAAGAGUUGCGUAGGCGGUCUGUUAAGCGAAUAGUGAAAUCAUGUGGCUCAACCAUUAUGACUAUUGUUCGAACUGGCAGACUCGAGAAUGGUAGAGGUAACUGGAAUUUCUCAUGUAGGGGUAAUAUCCGUAGAUAUGAGAAGGAACACCAAUGGCGUAGGCAGGUUACUGGACCAUUUCUGACGCUAAGGCACGAAAGCGUGGGGAGCGAACC
rnacentral:rRNA from 1 species